AGCAAUGCAAAUGAGCAAAUAGCGAACUAAUUUUUCGCCUUUUACUAAAGAAUACCGUGUGCUCUUUGUAUAACAUGGCCUACGCCAGUUUUUGUAGACUUCCUUUUUUCUUGAAUGACU
rfam:Helianthus annuus linkage group 9, whole genome shotgun sequence.